AGCAGCGGCUCAGGGGCGGAAGCACUGAGCUCAUCCUUGUUGAGCAGCACAGAACACGAAGAAGAAGAAGAAGAAGGAAAGAAGAAGAAGAAGAAGAAGAAGAACCCUCAUUAGUCUCAGGUGAGAGCGUUGUCGACGCCUCCAGCUCUUUGUGGAGCCUUAACGUGUGGACUUCUACGUGGAAUGGUUUGUUGGUUGUCGUCUUCUGCUCAGGCCCGCGUUUCUCCACCUCCUCCGUCUAAAGGCAAGAACACCUGGUUUCUGCAGUUGAUCUCGAGGAUGAGUCUGAAACAAGCAGAGAAACCAGAGGCUGAGGUGGGCACGCGUUCAGGCCGAGACAGGACGCGCUCUUUAAUCCGUCUUCCUCUUACUUCAUGGCGUGGCACAGUGCGCCCCCCCCCCCCUUUCCACUCGCAUGGAUGCGUUCCUGUCCUGCUCAUGCAUUUCCACAUGUUCCUGGCCUCCGGUGACAGAUUUGGUGCCUGAGUGAUGCAGGCAACCUCACGUCUCUGCCCCCUUCGAUGCGGCGUCUCCACAUCUGGAAGCCACUCUGGUCAGGUGAUAGAAAUCUAACACAUCUACUUUUUCUGUGCAUCAGUGCAGGCAG
rnacentral:lncRNA from 1 species